UUGAAAGGUUUGGGUCAAAUAAGCAGAAGGUUUUGGAAAGAGCCUGCCCCAAACAAGUCUUUGAGUGGCACAAACUACCUAAGCCCGAAUCACAGGAAGGGGCUCAAGAAAUAGGGCUGAAAGUUUCAGAAGGUAGAAAACUUACUGAAUCGUAGAGGCUAGAGCACUGCCAGGGCAGAUAAAUGGAUUGUGCCCAUGUGCACUGCAUCAAUCAUUAAGGUUUAUGGCUAGAAACAUGCUGUCUCUGCCUGAGGGCUUGUCAAUACUGCAAGGUUUCUGCCAGCCUAGCCUUUUGGUAGGGCUGCACGGGGUGAUGCUGUGUCCCAGCAGAAGGGGUUUUGGCUGCCUCGGCUAUGCUGCAGCUCUGAAUGGCAUCUGCUAAGCUGAGAAAAGCAGUCUUCGUGGGCAUGGCUGCCUCUGUGACAGCAAGGAUGGGGCUAUGCAGGCGUGUUGGCUUCUUGGGAAACACUCUCAUUGGCAGAAGAUGGGCCAAAAUCCCCAGCUCCUGCUCUCACCAUUAAUCUUCAAUGACCUCCGUUCGUCUUGAUGACACAUCUUGCAUGACUCCGGCUCGCUACGCCCACUGAGGCUCCUUUCAGCUCCCAACGUGCUUCCCGGUUGCCUAGCAAUCCUAACAAUAUUUUAUGAGGUCUUGUUCCAGGCGUACUGUUUGCUAAUACUGAAUUUGAGCUCGAAGCUCCAGGAGAAGCAUGGAGGAGGCCCGAGGUAACGUCCCUCCAAUUUCUUACAGCCAGAGGUUGGCAAAAAAAUAAAAUGCUGAAUAAUCAUGAUGGGCAUUUAGUAAUAAGGUCUUAAACUGUGUCCCAGCAAGCCAGCACGAUGGCAGAGCAGGGCUGCGUCCCGCUAACCAGCUCCGGCGCAUGCUGAGGCUCGGAGCAGAUCCCGCCUCGAAGGAGAAAGCGCCUGCUCACUGGCCCCAGCGACCAGGUCGGCUGCAGCAGCCUCUGAGCAAAAAGAAAUGAUGGAUAAAAACUGUCUCUGAGUGAGAGAGAGAAGGGCAGGAGGGGGACGAAAUGCUGGAUUCGGUACACCCGGCUCUUACCAGCUGGGGGUUUGAGGAGGAGAGCGAAGCCCCCGGCGGCUCUGGGAGCGACUCGCUGUGCGCUGGGGUGGCUGGCUCGGCUUUCACUGGUCUCUCCUGGCUCAACCUCAUCAGCAAGGCUGACAACUCAGCGGGCCCCAUGUGCCGGUGGGCUUUAGCAGGGUGAAGCUGGGGCUGGGGGAGCUGCACGGGGCAAGCCGGGACCUUGGGGCUGCCCGGGGAAGCUGGACCAGUUUCUUCUAGCGAUGUCUCUGAGGAUGAUGCACCAUAAAUAAAAGGGUAACUUUUAAGCAGGCAAAGCUGCUCCCUGUGCCGUUUGCAUUAAAUGAGCACAGCGCUGCGAUGGCAGGGAUGCAAACGAAGGUGGGUUUGUGGGAAGAGCAAGGGCUGGAGGAGCAGGACAGACCUGGGGAGCUGGAGAGCUCCCGGAGCCCGUCCAGGGGCCAUCAGGCCCUUCCAGGAGAUGGAGAAAGGCUCAUCCCGGCGAGUUCGGGGCUCAUCCUGGCGAGUUCGGGGCUCAUCCCUCUGACCAAGGGUUUGUUCAGCAGCCUGGGCCGCCCGGCCGUGCAGAAGCCCAGCAUCGUCCCCAAGGUGCUGAGCAGGUGCCACCAAAUCUCUUUCCACCCUGAGCCAGACAGAGCACAGAGGCACCAAAAGGCAUAAAUCUGUUUAAAACUGCAUUCCCUUCCUUUCCUGCUCCCUGCCCCCCCCUCCCCAAAAAGUAUAACCAGGAAUAAAUGAGCCCUUGGGAUUGGAUUUGCUGUUUCUGAAGGCUGCAGAGUUCCUAUUUUUAUUUUUUGGUUUGGCUAAUACAAAAUUUGUCGGAGAUCUAUACUUUCUGUAAGGUUACUUUUAAUGUUAUUUUUCUUUCCAUCCUGGCUUUAAAAAGAAAAAUAACACCCUGAAUUUUAUCAGAGAUUACUCCAUAAUAGUAACCUCUUGCUAAUAUAAGCUGAAUUAGAUUUGACCAUUAAACUCUUAUAUGAUUAUUAUUUUGUUGACGCUGAAUGCCUGCUGGUUAAAUUCAGCAACUGCUUCAUUUCUAUGAAACUUGUAUUUAUUAAAGAAAAAAAUCAAUAGAAAUAUUUUCACGCCUUCUUAUUUCUCUCUUUGUGUUUUUGGAAGUUUUUUUUUUUUUUCCUUUAAUUCCCAGGGUGGGCAGUUUUUCUGAGCAAACUCGUCCUCUCCUGGCUGUAAAGCAAGCGCAUUAGCAAGCGGGAGCUGGCUCGCAAGUGUGUCCUGCAAAUCUACCGUAUCCCUACGGCCACGGUCGCUCCUGCCGGAUGCCGGGAGUACGUCUAACCCUGAGAUCCUGGAGUUUGCCAUCAGUGCCAGGUUGAGGUUGCCGGGUCGGACGCUCACGACCGAAAGGUGCUGCGGAAGGAGGGCUGUCACGCACUGCUCCUGCCGCGGUCCGCGGUCCCGGUUCCAGGUUAACCCGACCUUCCACGUGCAGUUCUCACCCGUAAAAACACGGGAGGGAAGCAGGCAUCAGGUGCUACCCCGUGGUCUGGGCAGCAUGUUACGGUCCCUCUGCAGAGGUGCGAACGAUGGUACGAGGUUUGGGACGGUGAACAUUCAGGCCCUGUGUUUUCUGCUUAAAUGCUCUGCAAUAACACAGGGCAGAUUCUGUAGUGUUACUGGAUUCUCUCAUUCCUCGGGCAUGUUGUAAAGCAGGAUAUUUCAGAUCAGCUGCUUCCAACCAUCCGACAAGACGUGUGGCUUGUUCUCAGCAGCAGACGGGCAAUACAUGCUACGGUUGCUCGUCAAAGUCCCCAAACAUAUUUCUUUUGGAUUGAAAUUCUUCAUGUUUAAUAUAAGAUCCUGUACUUAUUGAUUCAGUUGUUUUUAGGUGUUGGAAAGUAUAUAUAUAUUUUUUCUCUCUGUUCGCACUGAUGGAAAGUCAGAAAAUGAGAUCAUUCAAAAAUGACUAAAAGCAAAUAGGCCAGACCUGGCUUGUUAUACAUAUUUCACCAAGGCCCAAGUUUCAAGCCAAACUGAAAGAAAGUUAGCUGAGCAGGUUUAAAGCUGGCAGUGCACAUGACAGUGUAAAUGUUAUGAAUUAUUUUAACGGCAAGCCGCGAAAUGGUAUUGCUUUUGUAAAAUUAUCUUGACAACAAAUGGUCUCGUUCAAGGCUUUCCAAAACGGGCCAGCAUACAUCAGGCAGUCCCUGGCACGGCUGCUAGGAAAAAGACAGAAUAUCUGCAUCGGCAAUGAGCAGAUCAUAUAAUAUCUUAGGAACGGCAAAGUCUGGGCAUCAGAUGUUCGUAGGUCUUUAUUGUGUUUCCAAGAACUUACUGUGAAAAUACAUUCUUGAUAAGUGUGAUCUGGAAAAAAGAAACAAAAAUCCCUCUGUGAAACCUAAAUAAACUGUGAUGGAAACAUU